AGAAAACAUAACCGUGUGGAUAUAAAUAUAUGGAACAAGACUUAGGUUCACUUUUAGGGUGCAGGGUAAACCUUUAAAUUCAUCUCUCCUCUUAUUACCAAUCAAAAUGCCACUUAGAUUAAUAAUAAAAUAGAUUAAAUUUAUUUAAAAAAAUCUGAAAUAAUUGAAAAAAAUAAUAACGCGAAUUUUAAUGAUACUAACACCAUUAACUAAACCCUAAAUUUUAAAUCUAUACCCUAAACCCAAACCGUAAACCCUAAACCCAAACCCUAUAUCCUAAACCCAAAUCCUAAACCUUAAACCCAAACCGUAAACC
rnacentral:lncRNA from 1 species